GGUUAGGAGUAUCAGGCUACUCGAAACCUUCUUGCCUCUCCACGUGAUCUCCUUUCCCCCUUGAACCUACUGCUCCAGCGCUCUCUGUCACCGGUGUAGGAGCUUACCCGUCCCACCGGCCAGCUGUUGCAGCGUCUGUGUUUGUACUAAGCUACAUCGAAACCCUGCGAUUUCAUUUAGCCGUCGAUUGGUUGUAUGUUCAAUCGUCUAUGCCUGUGCCUGAACCCUACGGAGUUCAUCUACUGUUCACCUACAUCCAGCUCUCAAAACAGCUGUGGAGCAUGCUUUACAGGGGUUUUUGGAUGAUCAGUUCAGCCAGCUUCAGAAACUGCAAGAUGAGACCAGUCCAGAUUUUGUGAUUGAGGUUAUGACCAUGUUCUUUGAUGAUUCUGAGAAUCUCCUCAACAACAUGGCACGUGCUCUGUAAUCUUCAUUGGAAAGUUGUAUUUGUGUACAUAAACAACAUGAAUCAGGUUACUAUGAACAUGAAGAGGAAGCAUGUUGCUGGGACCAUCACCAAAAAGAAACAGAUUGUGCAACAAUUGCUUCUGAAUUCAAGGACAAAACGGCAAGACAGUGCAGAAGAAGAUGGUACACUUACUUGAAUUCUGACUUAAAGGAAGGAGGAUGGUCCCCAGAGGAAGAUAUGCUCUUAUGAGGAUCAAAAAAUAUUUGGUAAUAGGUAGUAGACAGAAAUAGCUAAGGUGGUUUCAGGCAGAACGGAUAAUGCUGUGAAAAACCGUUUCUCCACAUUGUGCAAAAAGAGAGCAAAGUAUGAAGCCUUAGCAGAAGAGAACAGUACAUCAUACAUCAAUUCAAAUAACAAGAGGGUUAUUUUCCAACAAGAGCAUAAUACAGAUACAACAUCAGAAUCUGCAGUACUUAAGAAGAUGAGGAGGUCCGAUAUCCCUGAUGGGGCAGAACAUAUCAACUUGGCAGACAUAUCACAUAAACAAAAUGGAACUCCUAUUAUAGAAUUAGAAAUAGUGGAACCAUUAAAGAUGAGGUAGACCAAAAGAUUAAGAUUACACACCAGUAGCUAGGCCAAAAAAAGGGAGAACUGUGCGAAUUGAAGACUUCCGACGUCUUCUUCUUUGCUUUGUGACAUUUUUAUCAUUCUGAACAAUUAGUUUAGCUUGCUGAACUGUAUGGACCAGAGUUUCCCUUGGUGCAAUUUAUUUUUAUGUUAUGCAUUCUUCAUGAAUGGAUUGUGGCCCUUGCACUUAACCCUGAGUGUUUGUUUUAAUUUUGACCCUUGCAUCAUCUGAUACACAAAAUUAUCAUCUAUGCUCCAUAAAAAAAAGUUUAAGAUAAUGGCUUGAUGAUAAACAAGUCAUCUAUGCUCCAUAUACAAGUCAGUUGGAGAACAAGAGCUUUGGUGGUAUCUCAUAUCUGACUGGACAAGGAGAUUCAUAUUUGGCAAGGACUCAGUUUGCACUACAGUUGGUCCAAAAUGUGGUGGAUAGAUGAAGCUGGACCCCAAGCCAUGAUGGAGCUUUUUCCGUUAAUUCUUUUUACUGUUUUAUGCAGGUACAUUCGGUGGCGCAUCUGAUCCGGUUUUCAACUGUGUCUGGAGUAGUUCUGGGCCAUCAAAUGUCAAGGCCUUUUCUUGGAGGUUGUUACUUCAUAGGCUACCUACCAAGGUGAACCUUGGUCGUCGGCAGAUUCUUCUCUCGCAGACUGAUCCGGUGUGUAAACUCUGUGCUGGUGAGGAAGAGGCUGCGUCUCAUCUCUUUUGCUCUUGUCUGUUUGCUUGGGAGGUUUGGAGCUGCUGUUAUUGCUGGUUUGGUCUACUUACUGUGCUACCAAUUAAGCCACGAGAGCAUUUGCUACGAUUCAAGUUUGGGUGGAAUAAGGACCAAAUUUCAGGUUCUUACACAGUGUGGUCGGCUGUCGUUUGGUCCAUUUGGCUGAUGCAGAAUGAAUGUGUUUUCAGAAAUAGGGAGCCUGACAUGAAUUCUGUCCUCGAAUUAAUUAAGUGGCGGUCUUGGCUAUGGAUCAAGUAUAAAUGGAGGGGGUUUGCGUCUUCAUUUUUUGAGUGGUAUUCCUCACCACUGUUGUGUUUAGCAUCGUCAUAAGUUGCAGCAGGGAGUAUUAGUGGUUUUGUUUCUUUCAUUUGUUGGAUGUCUUGCUGUCAUGCACGGCUUUGUCUUUGGGUUAAGUGUUGGCCAUUGGUACAAGCUUGUUUGUGGGUUGGAGUGGUUUGAUGAGGGUGUUAUUUGGGUAAUAUGUAUUUGUAGCAGGGGGUUUGGUUUUGGUUUUAUGUAAAGGGUAAGUGCUGUAUCUGUUUUGUUCUUUUAUAUUUUUUAUUUUGUUUUUCUCUCUAUUGUAAUGGGUUAGGGCACCCCUUGUGCUUCCCAUUAAUAGACAUUUGACUUAUCUAAAACAAAGUAUAAUUUCCACA